GUGCUCAUUUUGAUAACACAUUUACCAAAAAUUGGAAUGACAACAGAGAUUAGCAUGGUUCCUACACAAGGAUGAUGCACAAAUCCAUGAGACACAUCAUAUUUAU